rnacentral:rRNA from 1 species
GAUGAACGCUAGCUACAGGCUUAACACAUGCAAGUCGAGGGGCAGCAUUGGGAUAGCUUGCUAUUUCAGAUGGCGACCGGCGCACGGGUGAGUAACGCGUAUCCAACCUUCCUGCCAGUAGGGAACAGCCCGGCGAAAGUCGGAUUAAUGCCCUAUGUUCUUCAAUGCGGACAUCUAAGUUGAAGGAAAGAUUCAUCGCUGGCAGAUGGGGAUGCGUCCGAUUAGCUUGCCGGCGGGGUAACGGCCCACCGGGGCGACGAUCGGUAGGGGUUCUGAGAGGAAGGUCCCCCACACUAGUACUGAGACACGGACCAGACUCCUACGGGAGGCAGCAGUGAGGAAUAUUGGUCAAUGGGCGUAAGCCUGAACCAGCCAAGUAGCGUGCAGGAUGACGGCCCUACGGGUUGUAAACUGCUUUUAUGCGGGGAUAAAGUGCGGCACGUGUGCCGCUUUGCAGGUACCGCAUGAAUAAGGACCGGCUAAUUCCGUGCCAGCAGCCGCGGUAAUACGGAAGGUCCGGGCGUUAUCCGGAUUUAUUGGGUUUAAAGGGAGCGCAGGCGGAAGGAUAAGCGUGACGUGAAAUAUGGCGGCUCAACCGUCGGACUGCGUCGCGAACUGUUUUUCUUGAGUGGGUUCGACGUAGGCGGAAUUCGUGGUGUAGCGGUGAAAUGCUUAGAUAUCACGAAGAACCCCGAUUGCGAAGGCAGCCUACGAGGCCUUUACUGACGCUAAUGCUCGAAGGUGCGGGUAUCGAACA